AGCGCGUGAAUAUCAUCGGCCAUAUUUCUGCUGACACAAGGCAUCCCCAAGUUGGGAAUGCACGCCUUCGAUGAUUUUAUUUAGUUUAAAAGAUGGCAGAACCACCUGUGUUACUUGGAAGAUACCCUACGGUCUCCUCUCUAGCUUUCAGCAACCAAAGGAGGCCCAAAUCGAUCCUUAGUGAUAUUAGUUCAGAAAGUGAUGGGGGUGCCGAGGAGAGUUCAGACUGUUGGAUGGACAGUCACAGACACCUGACACGUAUGGCCAAGGCUUUGUGGGAACAGAGGAGCCACUCCACCGAUAUAUGUGAUAUCACUGUGACUAUUGAUGGAAAGGCAGUGAAGGCUCACCUGUGUGUACUGAUGUGUUGUCCUUACUUCAGUUCUCUCUACAGCAGUGGCAUGAAGGAAAGGCUGUCAGGCCAGGUUGACCUCAGUGGUGUCACCUCCCCUGAGACUUUUGAGACUGUGUUGGAGUACAUCUACCUGGGCAAGGCUGUUAUAACAGAGGACAAUGUCUCCAGUAUUCUACACCUGGCUGACUAUCUCCAGCUGGAGGGACUGAAAGACAUGUGCUCCCACCACUUCAUCAGGAAUGGGGUCACCUCCAAGAACUGCCUCAGACUCUGUAUACUAGCCAGCAUGUACGGAUUGCACUCCCUUUACGAUCAGGCCAACCAACGACUGCGUGCGUAUCUGCACGAGGCGUUGAAGGAAGACGACGUUGUGGACUUGUCGGCAGAGUCAUUGCUCGACUUGCUGAAGGAUAAAAAUCUGAAAUACGUGCCAACAAUGGUGUUUUUCGAGGCCUUGAUAAAGUGGGCCAAGCACAAAGAGAUGGAAAGGAGGAAGGAAUUCAAGACGCUAUUCUGUGCCAUAGACCUGUCUAGCGUAAGUUGCAAGGACAUGGAGACAGUGAUCAGAUACCAGGAGCUGGUGUCCAGCGACCCAGACUGUGUGAAACACAUAGAGAACUAUGACUUGGACUUGUCCCUGGGGAAGAUCCACCCCGACACAGAGGAGAAGGAGGUGAUCGUGAUCUCAGGGGGGCGACACACCCCGGACGGCACGCCCCACGCCCAGAUGUAUGGGUUCGUCAUCGAGGACUCUAAAUGGGUGCGAUUGCCCCCGAUGCCAUUCCGUAGUGAUGUCCACGUGUGUACCACGUUGAACCAGCGUGAUUUGUAUCUCGUCCGUCCCAUGCACAUGACGUGGGAGUUUUACAAAUUCCAGGAGAAGGACUCUCAGUGGAGCUCUUCCACCACCGUGCAAGAACCUCUGAUGUCUUACGCCUCCAGGACCAUCAUAUGCUCCGUCACAUGUCGCGGAAUGAUUUGUAUGCUCAAAGACAGAAGCAUGUAUUUCACAGGCAAGCCAUAUCUCUGUUGUUUUAAUCCCCUGAAUACACACAUCGAGAGAUACUUUCCUUUUCAAGACACUUCACUAAUCCCAACCAUGUGCCAACUGGCUUCUGUACUAGACCGUUAUGUUUGUCUGCUUGCCAAGUGUGCUGACUCCAGCCGUAUCGGGCGCGUAGAGACGGUCAGAUUUUACGUCGUGGACCUGCAGGACUGCAUCACGGAGGAGUACUCGCGUGGGGCCCAGUACGGAGAGAUGAUGCACGUGACGGGUCAAAAGAUUUACAUCACCUCACCAGGAAAGAGAUUCAGCAAGGUUUUCGACAUGGAGCUCAAGAGCUGGAAAAGAUGUCGGCGGAGUUUGCCUCCUUUUCCAGACGAACCAUCCCGUAUCAACUGCAUGUCCGUCCCUCACAAGGGGGCCAUGUUUGUGUUCGGUGGGAUGGACCGUGAUGUUCGAGAUGCCCCUCCCCGCAACGGCCAUGUAAUAACCCCUUCAAAUUACCUCAGUUGUUACAAGUACAUGGAGAACCAGGACAGCUGGGAGAGGCUGCCGGAUGCCCCGAGUCAGUUUCACGACAGCUGCGCCACGGUGGUCACUCUCCCGUCCAGCAUCCUCCACUGCACUCCUGACUGUCCUCACUGUGUGGAGAAGUACAAGUUCCAUGACCCCAUCUUUGACAGCUAUGCAAUGAGGGAGAACAUGAUGUACGAUGAUGAGGACGAGGAUGACAUCAGCACGGAAGACGACUGGUCGGACGGGGAGUUGGAUGAUAUAGGACCUGGAGGACCAGAGGACUGCUGUAUUAUGUGACAUCUGGUGACACAAGUGAUGUGGUAAAGUGAGGCUCAAGCCAGUGAUAAGGUCAAGGUCAAAUGAUCAAGGUCAAGGCCAAGGGGAACAAAUGAAAACAAAAAUAACAGUAUUACCAUACGAUGUUUCUUUUUUUCAUCAUGGGAAGGCACACAUCUUUAGUUUUACAAAAAUUCAACCUUGGACAUUGAGCAGUGAGAGAUUUAUUCUGAAAGAGAAAGCCGGCAGUGACCUGCUUAGAAUAUUUUCGUUGGAGUAAGAGGCAAAGUACAGGAAAUACUCCUUAUUUUGUAACUCCAUCAUAACCGAUGAAAGUGUGCCAUGCAGUGAUGUUCAAUAUUCUAAGUUUUAAUGUCUUCUUUACUGCAGUGUCUGGUUCUCUGUUUUGUCAACAGGAUAUUUUUCUCUUUUUCUCUCUUUCUGUUAUCCAUGCAUUACUUUUUCAAGGAUUUUUAGAUGAGAAAAGGAACAUUUUGGAUUUUUAUGCAUUUUGAGUGUAAAAGAUGCUGUGCACUAACAAUGCAACAAGGACGGAUGUGUUUUGCUGCUAUAUGAAAGGCAGUGGUGGCAUUUUUUUAAUUCAUUUGA
rnacentral:misc_RNA from 1 species